rnacentral:rRNA from 1 species
GACGGAGGGUGCUAGCGUUGUUCGGAAUGACUGGGCGUAAAGGGCGCGUAGGCGGCCUCGUAAGUCGGGUGUGAAAGCCCGGGGCUCAACCCCGGAACGGCACCCGAUACUGCGGGGCUUGAGACCGGGAGAGGAGGGUGGAAUAUCCAGUGUAGAGGUGAAAUUCGUAGAUAUUGGAUGGAACACCAGUGGCGAAAGCGGCUCUCUGGCCCGGAUCUGACGCUGAGGCGCGAAAGCGUGGGGAGCAAACAGG